UCGCAAGACCUUGCGCUAAAGGAGCGGCCGAUGUCUGAUUAGCUAGUUGGUGGGGUAAAAGCCUACCAAGGCGACGAUCAGUAGUUGGUCUGAGAGGACGACCAACCACACUGGGACUGAGACACGGCCCAGACUCCUACAGGAGGCAGCAGUGGGGAAUUUUGGACAAUGGGCGAAAGCCUGAUCCAGCCAUGCCGCGUGAGUGAAGAAGGCCUUCGGGUUGUAAAGCUCUUUCAGUCGGAAAGAAACGAUUGUGAUUAAUACUCACAAUUAAUGACGGUACCGACAGAAGAAGCACCGGCUAACUACGUGCCAGCAGCCGCGGUAAUACGUAGGGUGCGAGCGUUAAUCGGAAUUACUGGGCGUAGAGGGUGCGCAGGCGGUCUUGUAAGUCAGAUGUGAAAUCCCCGGGCUUAACCUGGGAAUUGCGUUUGAAACUACAAAGCUAGA
rnacentral:rRNA from 1 species